GCUGGGCAUGGUGGUGCAUGCCUGUAAUCCCAGUUACUCGAGAGGCUGAGGUAGGAAGAUUGCUUGAGCCCAGGAGGUCGAGGCUGCUGUGAGCCAUGAUCGGGCCACUGCACUCCAGCCUGGGUGACAGAGUAAGACCUUGUCUCAA
rnacentral:SRP_RNA from 1 species